GACGGUAACCAACCCCAUGAUCGGGCAUAGCCGCGGGAAACCGCGGGUAAUUCCCGGCGAAGUCCGGGGGGGGCAUCCCCCCCCGACCAAAGUCCCGGCGUCGUGGGACGGGCCGUCGUGGUAUUAGGUCGUUGGCGGGGUAACGGCCCACCAAGCCUGUGAUGCCUACCGGGCGUGAGAGCGUGGCCCGGCACACUGGGACUGAGACACUGCCCAGACUCCUACGGGAGGCUGCAGUCGAGAAUCUUCGGCAAUGGGCGCAAGCCUGACCGAGCGACGCCGCGUGAAGGACGAAGGCCUUCGGGUUGUAAACUUCUGUCGAGGGGGAAGAAGCCGCAAGGUUGACUGAUCCCUGGAGGAAGCACGGGCUAAGUUCGUGCCAGCAGCCGCGGUAAGACGAACCGUGCGAACGUUAUUCGGAAUCACUGGGCUUAAAGCGCGUGUAGGCGGGACGGCACGUCGGCCGCUGAAAUCCCCCGGCUCAACCGGGGAAGUGGCGCCGAAACGACCGCCCUC
rnacentral:rRNA from 1 species